GAUGAAGAACGUAGUGAAAUGCGAUAAGUAAUGUGAAUUGCAGAAUUCAGUGAAUCAUCGAAUCUUUGAACGCACAUUGCGCCCCUUGGUAUUCCGAGGGGCAUGCCUAUUCGAGCGUCAUUAUCACCCCUCAAGCCUAGCUUGGUGUUGAGGCCUGCUGUCAAGGCAGCCUCUAAAAUCAGUGGCAGUGCUGUCAGGCUCUAAGCGUAGUAAAUCUAAUCGCUAUAGACACCUGGUGGACACUCGCCAGAACCCCCCCAUUUUUUAAUGAUUGACCUCGCAUUAGGUAGGGAUACCCGCUGAACUUAAGCAUAUCAAUAAGCGGAGGA
rnacentral:misc_RNA from 1 species